UUUCAAUUAAUAACAAUCACACCUUGUAGUUGUAGACUUUGUGGUUUAUUUUUAAAAAAGAAAAAAUAAUUACACCUUGGAUAAACCUUGUUUAUCAAAUACUACAAUGUUGCCAUACAUUGCCUACAAUACUGUCACUGUAUAAAGUUCUGUUUAAAUUAAAAAAAAAAAAUGUUGCUGGGUGGGACAGCGCCUGUGGCUCAGUGGGUAGGGUGCUAGCCCCAUAUACCGAGGGUGGCAGGUUCGAACCAGCCUUGGCCAGUUAAAACACAACGAGAAUUCCAACAAAAUAUAGCCAGGUGUUGUGGCGGGUGCCUGUAGUCCCAGCUACUUGGGAGACUGAGGCAAGAGAAUUGCUUAAGCCCAAGUGUUGGAGGUUCCUAUGAGCAGUGACGUCACAGCUCUCUACUGAGGGUGACAAAAUGAGGCUCUGUCUCAAAAAAAAAAAAAAAAAAAGUUGCUGGAGACAGAGGCUCACACCUGUAAUCCUAGCACUUUGGGAGACUGCGGUGGAUGGAUCACCUGAGGUCAGAAGUUCGAGACCAGCCUGAGCAAGAUCAAGAUCCCAUCAAGAUCAGCUAAAAAAAAAUAGCUGAGCAGGGGCAGCACCUGUGGCUCAGUGAGCAGGGCGCUGGCCCCAUAUACCGAAGGUGGCGGGUUCAAACCCAGCCCCUGCCAAACUGCAACAACAACAACAAAAAAAAGGCUGAGCAUUGUGCUGGGUGCCUAUAGUCUCAGCUACUUGGGAGGCUGAGGCAAUCCUCUUGCUAUGAGUUUGAGUCUGCUGUGACUCAGUUUCUUUACAUUAUGGCACUCUACCGAGGGUGACAAACUAAGACUGUCUCAAAAAAAAAAAAAAAGUUGAAUAAUUGUACAUUCAUAGGAAGUUGCAAAAGAUAAAUGUGUAUGUAUGAAUAAGGACAUCUGGUGUAUCUUUCACCUAAUGUCCCUAUUAAAAUCAGGAAAUUAGCCUUUCUUGCUCCCCAGCCAUCUUGGUGGCUGGUCUUGGUUGGGGGCUGUCCCGCAUCUAGGGCAGGAAGAUGGUGGCCGCAAAGAAGAUGAAAAAGUAGCUGGAGUCGAUCAACUAGAGGCUCCAGCUCCUUAUGAAAAGUGGAAAGUAUGUGCUGGGGUACAAGCAGACUUUGAAGAUGAUCAGACAAGCCAAAGCGAAAUUGGUCAUCCUCGCCAACAACUGCCCAGCUUUGAGGAAAUCUGAAAUAGAGUAUUAUGCCAUGUUAGCCAAAACUAGUGUUCAUCACUACAGUGGCAAUAAUAUUGAAUUGGGCACAGCAUGUGGAAAAUACUACAGAGUGUGCACACUGGCCAUCAUUUAUCCAGGUGACUCUGAUAUUAUUAGAAGCAUGCCAGAACAGACUGGUGAAAAGUAAAUCA